ACUCCAUGAAGUCGGAAUCGCUAGUAAUCGUAGAUCAGAAUGCUACGGUGAAUACGUUCCCGGGCCUUGUACACACCGCCCGUCACACCAUGGGAGUGGGUUGCAAAAGAAGUAGGUAGCUUAACCUUCGGGAGGGCGCUUACCACUUUGUGAUCCAUGACUGGGGUGAAGUCGUAACAAGGUAACCGUAGGGGAACCUGCGGUUGGAUCACCUCCUUACC
rnacentral:rRNA from 1 species